UACGGAGGGUGCAAGCGUUGUCCGGAAUCACUGGGUGUAAAGGGUGUGUAGGCGGGUCGGUAAGUCAGAGGUGAAAGUCAGCGGCUUAACCGUUGGAUUGCCUUUGAUACUGCCGCUCUUGAGUACCGGAGGGGUCACUGGAAUUCGUGGUGUAGCGGUGAAAUGCGUAGAUAUCACGAGGAACACCGGAGGUGUAGACGGGUGACUGGACGGAGACUGACGCUGAGGCACGAAAGCGUGGGGAGCGAACAGG
rnacentral:rRNA from 1 species